rnacentral:lncRNA from 1 species
GAAAGGGGGAGAUGAGGAUGGAGAAGGAAGUGGAAAGUUCGAGGUCCGUCUUCCACUUCCGGUUUCCGCCUCAGUUCCAGCGCCAGGGGCUUCAGCAGACGCAGCAGCAGCAACAGACAGCAGCUUUGGUCCGGCAGCUCCAACAACAGCUCUCCAAUACCCAGCCACAGCCCAGUACCAACAUAUUUGGACGCUACUGAACCACCUGGAAGAACCACACGUGCACUGGAUGUGGCCCCACCCUUUCCUCUUAAUUCCCGGUCCCCUUCUUGGGCUAGCACCAGUAGUGGUUGGGGCUCUUCCCUCAGGCUCCAUUUUUAAUAAGUUUUUAGUAUUUUUGUUAAUGUGAGGCAUUGAGCUGUUGGGUUUUGUAUAUUAUUUAUAUAGAGACCCCAGAGCUGUUGCACCCAAUACACAGAGCUUCUUUGCAAAGGGAGUGUGUGAGUUCUGCAUGGCUGGCAAGGGCGGGCUCUGGGGGGAGUGCUGGGGGCUGGACCAACCAGUCAGAGCCUUCGUCCUGUUCCUGUUCCUCCUGUUCCGAUCAACUCCCCUGUUUACCUUCCAUCCCCUCAGUUUCUGAAUUAUAAUUGCAUUGCUACUCUUUCCUCCCUUCUCCAACCUGGCAACAUAUUAUAUAGGUUUGGGCCCUUGGUUUCUUAAGAAGGGCAGCCUACCUUCUCAGCUGGACCUUGCAGGUUCUUCGUAGCUUCUCGCCUGGAGGGAGAGGCUGCUGGGAUGGGGGAGGGGCAGUGAGGCCCAAGGAAAAAAUCUGUGGAACUGAUUCUUCCGCUGCCCAUCCCACACACUGGGUUUUAAACAAACUUCAGGGUGGGGGGUGUGACAGACACUGCCUACCUUUUUUGCCACCUCGCGUGCUCCCUGUCACACACGCAGCAUCUUAGAGAACUUUCCCCAAGAGUCACAUUUCUGGGAUGAAAACUGGCCCGCCAUUGGCAAGUGUCCCCAUCGAACUGGUGGUGGUGGAAGGACGGUAUCAUUCUAGGAGGAAGAGAGACCCAGGAAAAGGAAGGACCCCUUUUUUUUCUCUCUCCACUCUGUUGCUGGAACUGUUUUCACAUGACCCACCUUGGCAGUGACCCAGGAUGACUGUGGCGCCCUCCCAUUUUACAGUAGAGAAAACUUGAAACUGUUGCCCCCGUGUCACAUUUGGAACUGUGGCAGGGUCACCUGCGGCCCCUU